rfam:Nematostella vectensis strain CH2 x CH6 NEMVEscaffold_8101_Cont54104, whole genome shotgun sequence.
CCUCUAGUCUGACUCUGUGAAAAGACAUGAGAGGUGUAGAAUAAGUGGGAGUAGCAAUACGUCGGUGAAAUACCACUACUCUUAUCGUUUUUUUACUUAUUCGAUGAAGCGGAAGCGAACCGCAAGGUUCACGUUCUGGAUUUAAGGUCUCUCUCUUGCAGACCGAUCCGUGUCGAAGACACUGUCAGGUUGGGAGUUUGGCUGGGGCGGCACAUCUGUCA